rnacentral:tRNA from 1 species
UCUAUUAUGGUAGAAUAAGUACAUUGGAUUUAAGCUCCAAAAAUAAAGCUUUAUAAAAAGCUUUUAAUAGAA